rfam:Ornithorhynchus anatinus chromosome 4, whole genome shotgun sequence.
CCCCUCUCAGGAUCACACCUGGAGAGUUUCCAGUACUCUAACAGUCCCGGCUAUGGGAGGGAGACCCAAGCAGAGGCCUACCCAUUCCAUUCCUAGCUUGGCCAGUGCUAGCGAGUGGAAGGCAAUCUGCUAUAAGU